rnacentral:ncRNA from 1 species
UUAAAAGAUUUUGAAAAGCAGAGUAACUAUUUUUAUUUAGCACAGAGAGUUAUCGCUUGGUGAAAGAUAACCUAAAGAAAUUUAGUGAAGAUGGGCUUGGAUAUCAGUGCUAGUGAUAUUUAGCUAGCAACGGCGUUGUAAACCGUUAUUCUUUACAAACUAUUUUUAGUAGUUAAUGAGGUCUAGUAUGUAAAUAUUAGAUGAAUUAAAGGUGGUAACACGAAGCAUUCGUCCUUUUC